AGUCUAGCAAGAAUUGGCACAGUGCACAGCCACCAUGUGUGGUUAGAGAACACAUGAGAGAGAGAGGUACCGAAAGAGAGAACGAUGGAGUGAUGGCAAUGAAUGCAAACAGCGGCGACUGUGGAGUGAUGACAAUGGAGGUGCAGCGACGGCAACGACGAUGGAUCUACAGGAAAAAGGACCGUCAGAGAGAGAAAGAG
rnacentral:lncRNA from 1 species